GGAUAACACUUAGAAAUAGGUGCUAAAACCGCAUAAGCGCACAGGAUCGCAUGGUCCGGUGUGAAAAACUCCGGUGGUAUACGAUGGACCCGCGUCUGAUUAGCUUGUUGGCGGGGUAGAGGCCCACCAAGGCGACGAUCAGUAGCCGGCCUGAGAGGGUGAACGGCCACAUUGGGACUGAGACACGGCCCAAACUCCUACGGGAGGCAGCAGUGGGGAAUAUUGCACAAUGGGGGAAACCCUGAUGCAGCGACGCCGCGUGAGUGAAGAAGUAUUUCGGUAUGUAAAGCUCUAUCAGCAGGAAAGAAAAUGACGGUACCUGACUAAGAAGCCCCGGCUAACUACGUGCCAGCAGCCGCGGUAAUACGUAGGGGGCAAGCGUUAUCCGGAUUUACUGGGUGUAAAGGGAGCGUAGACGGUGAAGCAAGUCUGAAGUGAAAGGCGGGGGCUCAACCCCCGGACUGCUUUGGAAACUGUUUGACUGGAGUGCAGGAGAGGUAAGUGGAAUUCCUAGUGUAGCGGUGAAAUGCGUAGAUAUUAGGAGGAACACCAGUGGCGAAGGCGGCUUACUGGACUGUAACUGACGUUGAGGCUCGAAAGCGUGGGGAGCAAACAGGAUUAGAUACCCUGGUAGUCCACGCGGUAAACG
rnacentral:rRNA from 1 species